AACGAACGCUGGCGGCAGGCUUAACACAUGCAAGUCGAGCGCCCCGCAAGGGGAGCGGCAGACGGGUGAGUAACGCGUGGGAAUCUACCCAUCUCUACGGAAUAACUCAGGGAAACUUGUGCUAAUACCGUAUACGCCCUUUUGGGGAAAGAUUUAUCGGAGAUGGAUGAGCCCGCGUUGGAUUAUCUAGUUGGUGGGGUAAAGGCCUACCAAGGCGACGAUCCAUAGCUGGUCUGAGAGGAUGAUCAGCCACAUUGGGACUGAGACACGGCCCAAACUCCUACGGGAGGCAGCAGUGGGGAAUAUUGGACAAUGGGCGCAAGCCUGAUCCAGCCAUGCCGCGUGAGUGAUGAAGGCCCUAGGGUUGUAAAGCUCUUUCACCGGAGAAGAUAAUGACGGUACCCGGAGAAGAAGCCCCGGCUAACUUCGUGCCAGCCGCCGCCGUAA
rnacentral:rRNA from 1 species